AACUUGGCAGAGAUGCCUUGGUGCCUUCGGGAACGCUGAGACAGGUGCUGCAUGGCUGUCGUCAGCUCGUGUUGUGAAAUGUUGGGUUAAGUCCCGCAACGAGCGCAACCCUUAUCCUUGUUGCCAGCGAUUCGGUCGGGAACUCAAAGGAGACUGCCGGUGAUAAACCGGAGGAAGGUGGGGAUGACGUCAAGUCAUCAUGGCCCUUACGAGUAGGGCUACACACGUGCUACAAUGGCGCAUACAAAGAGAAGCGACCUCGCGAGAGCAAGCAGACCUCAUAAAGUGCGUCGUAGUCCGGAUCGGAGUCUGCAACUCGACUCCGUGAAGUCGGAAUCGCUAGUAAUCGUGGAUCAGAAUGCCACGGUGAAUACGUUCCCGGGCCUUGUACACACCGCCCGUCACACCAUGGGAGUGGGUUGCAAAAGAAGUAGGUAGCUUAACCUUCGGGAGGGCGCUUACCACUUUGUGAUUCAUGACUGGGGUGAAGUCGUAACAAGGUAGGCGUAGCGAG
rnacentral:rRNA from 1 species